rnacentral:misc_RNA from 1 species
GAUGAAGAACGUAGCGAAAUGCGAUAAGUAAUGUGAAUUGCAGAAUUCAGUGAAUCAUCGAAUCUUUGAACGCACAUUGCGCCCCCUGGUAUUCCGGGGGGCAUGCCUGUUCGAGCGUCAUUUCACCACUCAAGCCUCGCUUGGUAUUGGGCAACGCGGUCCGCCGCGUGCCUCAAAUCGACCGGCUGGGUCUUCUGUCCCCUAAGCGUUGUGGAAACUUUCGCUAAAGGGUGUUCGGGAGGCUACGCCGUAAAACAACCCCAUUUCUAAGGUUGACCUCGGAUCAGGUAGGGAUACCCGCUGAACUUAAGCAUAUCAAUAGGCGGAGGA